UCAAGACUAAUGCUUGAUCUGCACAAAACUAAAGUAGUAUUUCACAUUAAGCUGAAGAAAACAUCCACUGUUAAUAACCUGUUUUAACAAACAGCAACAUUUGUGUUUUAACUUAUAGUUUGAGCACAGCUAUCUUCUGAGUGAAAGUCUUAGUGAGAGAGAGCACGUUGCACUGGGAAGAUAGUGGAAUUCAUGCAGAGCAGCUGCAAAACUUGAAUAUCAUUUUCCUCUGGCACCAAAGACAAUGUGAACACACAUUUACAAGGAUAGCAGAAAUGGGACCCGCUCUCAGGACCUCACGACCAGACGCUUUUCAAUAUGCCAAGGACACAUCCUAGAAGACUAGCGUGCCUUCAGGGUGCCAGAUUUUCAUGGCCCUGGAGGUAGGCAGAUUCAAGGCUGUGCCACCGCCAC